UAAUGAACUUGUCCUAUCCUGGUACAUUAUAUACACGUCAGUGAGUGUGGGUGUAGGUGUGUGUUCUGUUUUACCCCAGGAGGACCGCCUGUGUGCUACAUAGUGAUGAAGGACACUUGGUUAUCUCUACCUGGCACCCUUAUCACGUGUGACACCUUUCAACAACCCUCCGUCCCCACCUUUCUGUCCAAUGCGCUCUGAAAAUGGGGGCCAGAGAUAAGGAGCGUGUGUUUGCAUGUCUACGAGUUUGUGUGCACGCAUGGCACAGUGAGUGGGAGACAAGAAAGCAAAUUUGUACAAGUCACAACGGCGCCGGGAGGAAUGUGCAUUCUGUUGUGGUGUAAUUAUGGCCAUAACUACAAGAAGAAGCCCCACAUUAUGAUAAUGGUGGUAUUGCUGUUUCUGAACACUCCCUCCAUCGCUGUAAUGAAGGGUACGAGAUGGAUAAAAGAGCAGGAAGUGGCUAGCUAUCAGGAGUGUGGAUGGACAGAGUUCUGAGCAGAGAGCCAGGCCUUUUGGCCGGUCUCCAGCGGGGACGGUGGGUGUCCCUUUGCCAGCUGGCAGCCUGUCUCUCCCAUCUGUGGAGCCUAAGAGAGUGUGCAGUAAUCUCCCGGAGACAGCGCGCCUCGACCCGGGCCCGAUUUAAAGGGAUACGGCCAGCUGGCCGGGCACGAGCAGGCCUGUACCAGGGAGAGGAGAAGGAAGGGCAGGAGAAGGCCACAGAGAAGGGAGGGGGAUGAGCGGGUGAGCCGCGAUGAAGCAGGUCGGGUGUGAUGGCGAGCGUGAUGCGGGGACCGAGGAUCGGUGGUCAGGGAGCAAUAAAGAGCACUGAUAAGAAUGAUUCAAGUCCGGCUGCCAGCAAAUAAUGGAACAGGCAGAAUGUCAUUUUGCUGCUUAAAUCUACUGUACGGGUACACUGAGGGGCUCGGGGCGCACUGUGCCGCACGCCACGCCACAAGGUGGGAUAAGAAGCAAACAAACAUACAGGCUGCGCUCAGCAACCCCGAUCAGAGUGUCUGCCAGGGUCCUGAUAAGCUGUCAGGCAGGAGAGGACCGUGAGAGGUGGAAGGAGUGGGUGGCGGUUGUGGAACUAUCUUAACACCUGCCUGUCUUUUGAUGGAUGGUCAAUCCAGCUGUCUGCUGAUGAGUACACAUCUGUCCGCCUGUCCAUCUGCCAGCUUUUGGAGCCAAUGUGUGGGGUGGCAUGAGCAACAUUGCUGCCCUGUGAGAAAUAAAGCAUUAAAUACCAACUGAACAGUAUGUUUAUUUGGAGAGGAAACGCUGCCAGCACAAACAACGCAAAGACACAGCUUGCCUCUGCCAUAAGACGACAACUGCUCACUCCAAAGUUGUUUUGUGUGUUUGUGUCUACACUGGGAAGCCUGUAAUCAUAGAUGACCUAGCUUUUGUUCAGUGUGUGUGAACCCCGCUGCUUCACUGUGAGGACAUGGCUUCUGGAGGGCUGCCUGCAGUCUCCAGGGUUAAGCUAGCUGUGGUUGAUCAGUAAAUUACAUUCAGACUGUAAGCAGGCUGCUUGAUAAACCCAGUGGUGGGUCGUCAGGGUCAGCUUAGCCUUCUCUGCUGCCCUAAACAGAAUCACAAAUUUAAACUAUUUCAUCAUUUAAGUUGCAUUACAUGUAUUAUUCCUAUUAUCUGGUUUUCUCAUUGCACGGCUCUUGUCUUCGGCUGUUGCUCUGCUUCCAGCGCAAAAAGAGCUUUUUCAGAUUCAGCCCCCCUGUCUCUAUGUGAAGUAUAUAUUUUUCAACCUAUCCGGUCUUUAGUUUGACCUGUUGGGGGUUUUCUUUGACGUGCCAGUUGCACCUCUGUAGGCUCAUUAGUACUUUGUCUGUAAAUAGGGACCAUGCUUUUGUGUUAUUUGUCCGUAUUGUUUUUAUUAUAUAUUGAAUAUCCCUCUGAUCUAAAUAAUAUUUGAAUGGAACCGUGCUGUUGAGUUUUUUAGUGCUGUAGUUUUGAUGGAUUGUUUUUUCAUGCUUUGUUGCAAAUAAAUGUCACUGGUUCUUGUGAGAUUUCACUUGUCAUCGAGUUAAUUACAUUGAUUUGACUACACGCAUUCAUGUAUCUGCAUUUAGUGUAUUUGUAGGAGUUGAGCUUUAUGUAACAUUUUAUUUCACGUUAAAUAUUGCAGUGUUUUGUGAUUAAGAACCAGAACCUCUAACUGUGGCGUCAUGAUGAG
ensembl:lncRNA